CCUAUGGAUUCCAUCUGGACCUGGAUUUUCUCAAGUAUGUCGAUGACAUUGAGAAGGGUAACACCAUUAGGAGGGUGCCAAUGCAGAGAAGGCAAAGAGGACGAAAUAAUGAUGUCCUGUCACGUAACUUAAGCCUUCCGGGUUAUGGAUCCAGAGCUACAGAAUGGAACUCAGUCAGCACUUUUUGGCCCAAAACCAAACUAGGAGACUCUCAGCAACAUUUUGAGUUUCGAUCUAGUGACAGUGUGUCUGCUGGCUAUGUCAGGAAGGGAGCACCCAUCUACAAGUCCUUCACAUCUGCAGAGAUGGAGGCUUUUGAUGAGCAGCCUUUAGGAUGUUAUGUCAGGCCAAAUCUCUUGAGAGCCUCCAGUUUACCCUUGACUGUUUUACUGAGAAAGCGCUCUGAGUCAACCGAGGAUCCAACCAGCCCCAGCAACCCCAAGGAAUAUCGAAUGCAAGAAAAUGGUUCCUCUGAAGAUGUAUUUCACACUUCAGACAGCAGAAUAGGUAGACCAAACGGGACCCUCCAGCGGCUCACUGCAGCUCUUGAACGAGUUGGGGAAUUGGAAGAGGAGAUCAGAGUCAUUCCUGAGCUCAAGGCGCAGAUAUGUAUUAUGCAGGAGGAGCGAGAGAGACUUUUACUCCAGUUACAUUCCCAAAACAAAACCACCGGGCCACAGGAUAUUCUUACUGCUCCUCUACACAUAAAUAACUGGGACACACCUUCAUCUGCCAGAGAAAAUCAAGACAAAGCAAGUGAUGACUGGAUGAAUCGAGAAUAUGACCGGCUAGAGGAAAAUGUCAAGGCUUCUUCUGAACAAGUUGAUGCAGUUGCAAUUACUUCAGCUACUGAAAGAAUCCUUACAGAGACUGAAAGACGUAAGACGGUCUCGCGAGAAAGAGAUCUCUUGGAUAAUGGAGACAAAACUAAGUCUCUUACUGAAACUCUCCAGAGGAAAGUUGUUUUGCUGGAACAGAAACUUCAUGAACUGGAGGUAGAGCUGGACAAGACCAGAGCUUUGCUGAAGCAACAGGUAGAGGAGAGUCUUCUCAAGGAUGACAAGAUCAAGCAGUUGACCGUACAGCUUGAAAUGUCGCGCCCACUGGCCAAGGUGAUUUCAUCUGAGAGCUCCUUAGUAAGUAAACAAAGUCUUGAACCUGUGGUAGAACUGCAGGAAAGUGGGCAAAAGAUGGGAACCGUCCCUCAAGUUCUGGAUCAACCUCCAGUAUCACAUGCAGACAUAGAGCACCAUGUGAAAAGAUUACAAGAGCUCCUUCAGGAGCAGUGGGAAUGCCUUUGCAAAGAUGACUCUUCAGGGAAAAUGUCUUCAGAUCACUUGCCUCCACGUGUCUGCAUAAUUCAAGAGCAGUUAACAACUUUAGUCACCCUUCUUACCCUCUAUGUCUUUCCUUCUGGUGAUGCUUCACAACCAGACUAUAAAAUGAUGGAAGUUCUUCCUGAAGUAGAAGAGAACCCCAAGACAGAACAUCUGAAGACAAUCAGCAUAAGAGACAGGUAAAUAUAUCCCCACUAUGGGCAAUUUUGUCAGUACUGAUGGUCUUUUUUUUUUGUAUAAUCAUGCACAAUCACUUCAGACUUAUCCACUAAAACAGUGACUUCAGAUUCAGAAUACUAAUACUCUUUGACCUUCAACAUUCUGAA
ensembl:lncRNA